rnacentral:rRNA from 1 species
UACAGAGGUGGCAAGCGUUGUUCGGAAUUACUGGGCGUAAAGGGCGCGUAGGCGGCCAUCUAAGUCAGACGUGAAAUCCCCCGGCUUAACCUGGGAACUGCGUCUGAUACUGGACGGCUUGAGUAUGGGAGAGGGAUGUAGAAUUCCAGGUGUAGCGGUGAAAUGCGUAGAUAUCUGGAGGAAUACCGGUGGCGAAGGCGGCCCCCUGGGCCAAUACUGACGCUCAUGCACGAAAGCGUGGGGAGCAAACAGG